rnacentral:rRNA from 1 species
GAUGAACGCUGGCGGCGUGCCUAAUACAUGCAAGUCGAGCGAACAGACGAGGAGCUUGCUCCUUUGACGUUAGCGGCGGACGGGUGAGUCACACGUAGGUAACCUACCUAUAAGACUGGGAUAACUUCGGGAAACCGGAGCUACUACCGGAUAAUAUUUCGAACCGCAUGGUUCGAUAGUGAAAGAUGGCUUUGCUAUCACUUAUAGAUGGACCUGCGCCGUAUUAGCUAGUUGGUAAGGUAACGGCUUACCAAGGCAACGAUACGUAGCCGACCUGAGAGGGUGAUCGGCCACACUGGAACUGAGACACGGUCCAGACUCCUACGGGAGGCAGCAGUAGGGAAUCUUCCGCGAUGGGCGAAAGCCUGACGGAGCAACGCCGCGUGAGUGAUGAAGGUCUUCGGAUCGUAAAACUCUGUUAUUAGGGAAGAACAAACGUGUAAGUAACUGUGCACGUCUUGACGGUACCUAAUCAGAAAGCCACGGCUAACUACGUG